AGACUUUUCACUUCUGUUAUGCAUACACUUGAUGGUACAGAAAAAAGUGAAAAAAAUAUUUGAACUGAAAGAAAAAAUAGCAGGUUACAUGUGACAAAGAGUCUUAAAUUAUAAUUUUAAAUAAUAUGCAUUAAACUCCUGAGGGAAAAUAGAAAAACUGAGACCACAAAUUCAGCAAAGGAGUUAUGUUUUAAUUUUAGUAUAGUCAUUUCCAAAGCCCUUCUUUAACUUGGAAGUAUAUGCAUAGAGUUUUUUGCUCUUUAAAUCUUAUUUGUGCUGAAAGUAAAAUAAUGAACACUGGAAUCUAUUAAAAAAUGUAAUGUUUAUACAGUACUUUUUUGAAAAAGUACUGUACAGAACAGAAAUUUUAAACAGAAAUUCUAAACAGAAUUUCUAAAGAACAGAACAGAAAUUCUAAAGAAAACCCCUGGUUAUACCCAAAUGUUCCCUUCCCCCUCCAGUCUUGGAACAUAUUACUCAAGUUGUUUUCCUCUUUUUUCUAAUUUUUGUCUGCACUUUCAACCUCCUGACUGGAAAAGAAUCUGAAUACUCUCAUGAAAUAAUGAAAAAAAAAAAGGAGUUUUAAUACUUCAACUUCGAAGAAUGAGGAAACAAGGAAAAGGUGUAUCUGGUGUGACUGAUGGAUUUGAGUGCCUUGACUUGAAGGCGUAGAGCACAAGACUGCAUUGCCCUCAUUACUCUGAUAAAAGCUGAGGUGGCAGAAAGCGUGGGGUAGAGUCUUUCAUCCUAACAUAAAAAGUCCAUCUUUCACUGAGAAUGCCCACUAUUGUCUUCAAGACUGAAGUUCAACUUCUGCAAGGAAGAACUAUGACCAGGAGCUCCUGUGAUGUGACUGCCUUCAUUUGUCACGGUGGGAGAUUGGUAACCAACAGUGGAAAAGUAUUCUGUCAAAGGAGUACCUUUAUGGAGAGGAAUAUGAGCCUGGGGAAGAAUUGCUGCGGUCAGUUCCUCAAUUAGUGCUUGAAAUGAUUCCCUCUCUGUCCCCAGGAUAUGUUCAAAUAUGAAGAACAGAUUCAGGAGGCAAUUGCAAAAGACAAAGAACAAUAUCAAUUGAGAUUUUGGAUAUACUUUAUUCUUGAAAAGAAAUAUUGAGAUCCCUGGUCUGUAGUUUGGAGGAACUCUUCUUUGACCCCUUGGUAUUGCAGGGCCUACUAAGUGUCAGAAUAACACAUAAUUUUUA
rnacentral:lncRNA from 1 species